rnacentral:rRNA from 1 species
AAGGUCGAGGACGUUGAUGAUUCCGAAGUCAUCGGAAGGACUGCCGAGAAAAACCAGGGGAAGGACGAAGUCAGGUACCCGUACUAAAACCGACACAGGUAGGUGAGAUGAAUAUUCUCAGGCGCUCGAGAGAACGCUCGUGAAGGAACUCUGCAAGCUAGCCCCGUAACUUCGGGAGAAGGGGCGCCCCCACAGGUUUAGAGCUAGAGGGGGCCACAGUGCAUUGGCUCUUGCGACUGUUUACUAAAAACACAGGGCUCUGCUAACUCGCAAGAGGAAGUAUAGAGUCUGACGCGUGCCCGGUGCUGGCAAGUCAAGGAAGGGGGUGAGUCCGUAAGGGCGAAGCUCGCGACCGAAGCUCCAGUAAACGGCGGCCGUAACUAUGACGGUCCUAAGGUAGCGAAGUUCCUUGUCGGGUAAGUUCCGACCUGCAUGAAUCGCGUAACGACAGGAGCACUGUCUCCACGAGCGACUCGGUGAAACUGUAGUCGAUGUGAAGAUGCAUCGUUCCCGCAGCUAGACGGAAAGACCCCGUGAACCUUUACUGUAGCCUCAUAUUGGGUUUAGGCCCGGUAUGCGUAGGGUAGCUGGGAGACUAUAAACCCGCGGUUUUGGCCGUGGGGAAGUCGACGAUGAAACACCAGCCUUAUUGUGCUUGAAUUCUAACCGGUAUUCGUGAAGCCGAAGCCGGGACCGUGUGAGGUGGGCAGUUUGACUGGGGCGGUCUCCUCCCAAAGAGUAACGGAGGAGUCCCAAGGCAUACUCAACCCGGUCGGCCAUCGGGUGUUGAGCGCAAAUGCAGAAGUAUGCUUGACUGCGAGACCGAUAGGUCGAGCAGGGACGAAAGUCGGGAUUAGUGAUCCGGCGGUGCCGGAUGGAAGGGCCGUCGCUCAACAGAUAAAAGGUACUCCGGGGAUAACAGGCUUAUCUCCUCUGAGCGUUCAUAGCGGCGAGGAGGUUUGGCACCUCGAUGUCGGCUCAUCGCAUCCUGGGGGUGGAGAAGCUCCCAAGGGUUUGGCUGUUCGCCAAUGAAAGCGGUACGUGAGCUGGGUUUAGACCGUCGUGAGACAGGUCGGUCCCUAUCUGCUGUGGGCGUAGGAAGUUUGAGUGGCCCUCUCUCUAGUACGAGAGGAUUGAGAGGGACGUACCUCUGGUGUUCCUGUUGUCGCGCUAGCGGCAUUAGCAGGGUAGCCACGUACGGCCGGGAUAAACGCUGAAAGCAUCUAAGCGUGAAACCCUCCACAAGACGAGACUUCCCUUCGCAAGAUGAAGGCUCCGUGUAGACUACACGGUCGAUAGGCUGGCAGUGUAAAGGCAGCAAUGUCUGUAGCUAACCAGUACUAAUCGCCAACCGCUUGUCCGC